rnacentral:rRNA from 1 species
GCCAGACUCCUACGGGAGGCAGCAGUGGGGGAUAUUGCACAAUGGGGGAAACCCUGAUGCAGCGACGCCGCGUGAGUGAAGAAGUAUUUCGGUAUGUAAAGCUCUAUCAGCAGGGAAGAAAAAAGACGGUACCUGACUAAGAAGCCCCGGCUAACUACGUGCCAGCAGCCGCGGUAAUACGUAGGGGGCAAGCGUUAUCCGGAUUUACUGGGUGUAAAGGGAGCGUAGACGGCAAUACAAGUCGGAAGUGAAAUACCCGGGCUCAACCUGGGAACUGCUUUGGAAACUGUAUGGCUGGAGUGCUGGAGAGGUAAGCGGAAUUCCUAGUGUAGCGGUGAAAUGCGUAGAUAUUAGGAGGAACACCAGUGGCGAAGGCGGCUUACUGGACAGUAACUGACGUUGAGGCUCGAAAGCGUGGGGAGCAAACAGGAUUAGAUACCCGAGUA